AUGUAUGUGUGUGCAUCAGCAGUGACUGACACACAGUUAGACACCCUCCCUGGCCCUGAUUGGUGCAUCUGAACAGGGAGCGGUAGAUUUUUGCAAAUUGCACGAUUUGUUUUUUAAAUGACCUGCUU